GCGGGGCUGGCGGGGGCUGCGCCUAGUUCUUGCGGCCCCAGGCGCCAGGAAGGGCGGCCGAAGGCCUCGGAGCGCAGCAGAGUGUGCUUCCCCAACAGACUCGGGACAGGAGACCUUCCUCUCCUCCACCAGCAUCCCGGCCCACAUCCAGCAUGUGCUGCCCCCACCUGCUGCUGCAUCGGCCUCACGUGUCUGCCAGGACCUCCCCUCUCAGAAGGCGAACAAUCUGUCCUGCCUUCAGCAUACCCAGAGGCUUCCAGUGUUCACCAGCACGCCUUCUCCAUCAGUUUCAUCACAGCAUAAUCCUCCAAACAGAGGGAUGCCCCCACCCCUGGAAUGAUAAGGCACAGAAUUUUGUUUCUAUGUGACACUUUCUUCCUCUCAUCCCCUUACACCCCACCCCCCUACAUCUGGUACCCUGACAGUCAAGAAAUCCACCCCAAAUUGCUCCUGUUAUUUAUUUAUUUUACUCCUCUAUGAGCAUGGAGAACUGCUAAUCAGCAUCCCUGUUGUAGUUGAAAAUGAUGAUCUGAUUAAACAUGUCAG
rnacentral:lncRNA from 1 species